UGAGUCUCAGGGCACGGGGCGGAGCGAGCGGACUACGGAAAGGAAAGGGACGACCACACCCGCUGGCCCAGGCCCUAGGACCGGCGUCGUCAACAGGGUCCCGCUAAAUUGUCCAGACUGGACUCAAGCUUGUGAUCCUCCUGCCUCGGUCUCCCGCUGCGCUGGCAUCACAGGCCUGCAGCACCACAUCUGGCUCAGCCCCUUCUUUAAAACGGAAAUAGUGGAGCUGGGGAUUUAGCUCAGCGGCACAGUGUUUGCCUGGCAAGCACAAGGUCGUGAGUUUGGUUCCCCGUACCGGAAAAAAAAAAAAAAAAGAAAAAGAAAAUAAAAUAAAACGGAAAUAGUAAAAUUCCCCUCCCUGAGUUGCUGGUGUAUUACUUGCGUAACAGAGCUCAGUAACUUUUUAAGGGAAAAAAAAAAAAAAAAAAAAAAAAA